rnacentral:rRNA from 1 species
CGGUGGAGCAUGUGGAUUAAUUCGAAGCAACGCGAAGAACCUUACCAGGCCUUGACAUGCAGAGAACUUUCCAGAGAUGAUGUCCGCUCUAACAGGUGUGACGAGCGCAACCCUUGUCCUUAGUUACCAGCGGGAUGUCAAGUAUCAUGGCCCUUACGGCCUGGCUACAUACAUGGUCGGUACAAGGGUUGCCAAGCCGCGAGGUGGAGCUUCUCACAAAACCGAUCGUAGUCCGGAUCGCAGUGCAACUCGACUGCGUGAAGUCGGAAUCGCUAGUAAUCGGAAUCAGAAUGUCGCGGUGAAUACGUUCCCGGGCCUUGUACACACCGCCGUCACACCAUGGGAGUGGGUUGCACCAGAAGUAGCUAGUCUAACCUUCGGGAGGACGGUUACCACGUGUGAUUCAUGACUGGGGUGAAGUCGUACAAGGU